rnacentral:rRNA from 1 species
UGGCGGACGGGUGAGUAACGCGUGAGUAACCUGCCUUUCAGAGGGGAAUAACGUUCUGAAAAGAACGCUAAUACCGCAUAACGUACAGUUACCGCAUGGUAGCAGUACCAAAGGAGCAAUCCGCUGAAAGAUGGACUCGCGUCCGAUUAGCUAGUUGGUGGGGUAAAGGCCUACCAAGGCGACGAUCGGUAGCCGGACUGAGAGGUUGAACGGCCACAUUGGGACUGAGACACGGCCCAG